UACGUAGGCAGCGAGCGUUGUUCGGAGUUACUGGGCGUAAAGAGUGCGUAGGCGGUUUUCUAAGUUUGGUGUGAAAUCUCCCGGCUUAACUGGGAGGGUGCGCCGGAAACUGGAAAGCUGGAGUGUGGGAGAGGUAAGCGGAAUUCCUGGUGUAGCGGUGAAAUGCGUAGAUAUCAGGAGGAACACCUGCGGUGUAGACGGCUUACUGGACCAUAACUGACGCUGAGGCACGAAAGCGUGGGUAGCAAACAGG
rnacentral:rRNA from 1 species